GACGAACGCUGGCGGCGUGCUUAACACAUGCAAGUCGAACGGAAGGGCCCUGCUUUUGUGGGGUGCUCGCGUGGCGAACGGGUGAGUAACACGUGAGUAACCUGCCCUUGACUUUGGGAUAACUUCAGGCAACUGGGGCUAAUACCGGAUAGGAGCUCCUGCUGCAUGGCGGGGGUUGGAAAGUUUCGGCGGUUGGGGAUAGACUCGCGGCUUAUCAGCUUGUUGGUGGGGUAGUGGCUUAACAAAGCUUUCACGAGUCGCCGGCCUGAGAGGGUGACCGGCCACAUGAGAACUGGGAUAGGACGCAGACUCCUCUGGGAGACAGCAGUGGGAAAUAGUGCACAAGGGGCGGAGUCCUGAUGCAGCACCGCCGCGUCCGGGAUGACGGCCUUCGGGUUGUAAACCGCUUACGCCUGGGACGAAGCGUGAGUGACGGUAAUAGGUAAAGAAGCACCGGCUAACUACGGG
rnacentral:rRNA from 1 species